AUAAAUAGGGAUGAGAGUUAUGUGUAAAAUUCAUGCCCGGAUUAGCCGGUGCACCAAGCAGUAGUUCAUGUUUGAUUUUAUUAUCUCCAUGAUGUUCUAAUUUCAUAGUUAGGGUUUAGAUGAAACCAUUAAUCUAUUGCUAAGUUUGGUUCAUGUAUUGAUAUUGUCCUUGUUGUGCUAUAAUGUUUUGGAUAAAUAUAACCUGAGCCUUCAACAUUUUACUCUCACAGUGUAUGCCAUGUAUCCAUUGUAGUUAGAAUAACACUAUGUUGAUUGUGCUACAACUCAUGCUUAAUUGACUGUUGUUCGAUCCUUUGACUAGUUGUGCCUUAAUCAGAAAGUUAGUACUUUGGAGGGAUACCUUAGUUGCGAUUAGAAUAUCCAUAUCAGGGUUGUUUAAUUAUCUAAGUGAUUGAUCUGCGGUUAGUUUGUUUUGUGAGAGGGCAGUUAAUACUAGGAUUAGGAAUAAUCUUAGUGACACUAAACCAUCCCCUGAAACUGCCCUGGAUAGGCGGAAGACCACCGGUGUGCAUUAUAAGGGACAAGAAUAGUAUUGAGACUGAAUUGACUUAGUGUAGGUUAAGCGGUGGAUUCGAAUGCCCUAGCACCUUAUUUAUCUGCUUGUAGAUUUCUCUUUGCUUUCGUUUUUGUUAUUUCAUCCACUACCAUCAUCUAGCUGUAACGGCAAACAAAACCCCCCCUUUUGGUUACUCUUUGUUCUAAUCAGUAUAGAAAGACCAUAGCUUCAAAUUACACCCACCUUGUCCCUGAGGAUCGACCUGUAUUUGCCUUGUCUACAAUAGGACGGUGUGCACUUGCAGUCAUUGUAGGUAUUCUUUCUAGUCCUACCAAGUUUUUGGCGCCGCUGCUGGGGACUCGGUAGCGGUGUAGCUGAAGUUUCUUCGUUACUUUACUGAUUUCAGCUAAAAUUUUGUAUAUAUUUGUUUCAGCUCUAGUCAUAACGUGUCUGUCAGUAGUGUAAUUUGUUAUUUUAACCAUCUGUCUAUAUUAGUCCCAUCUCAUUUCUUUAUGUUUUGUUGAACUGUGUUAAGUAGUGUAGCUCAAUUGUUUAUAUAAUAUGCAUCCGUUGUUAGCAUUAGCUGUAGCUUUAUCUUCUAUCAUAAUCUUUUGCAUCAUUAGCUUUGCAUCAUCAUCAUCUGUAGCUAGUUUCAUUCUGUAGUGUAGGUAUGUUUCUUUCUCAGUUCAUUGGUCCUCUCAUGCUGUAGCUGUAAAGUAGCUCAUCGCCAUUGUCACCUUGUAAUUUACCAAGCACUCAUGCAUCUCGCAUUUCGUCUUCUCUUUACCCUGUUGAACUUCUUCAACCCCGGGCAGUCCAAAUAAGCAUAAUAGUUAUUCAUCCCAAUCAUUCUUGCAUUUGAUCUAUUAGUAAGUGCAUAAUUUUUAGUUGAGCAUCAAUGCAAUUCCCAUCUUUUGUCCUACAAUCUGUAGCUUAAUUCUGGAACAUUUUACCUGUUUUUAGUUUCUUUUUAGUUUACCUUGCAUCUGCAUUGUAUUGUAGCAAUUUCUUUAAGUCAAAAUCAUCCAUAGCUGGUAGCAUCAUUUAGAUGAGUAUAAGUCUGAUAAGUUCUCUUUAGUUUUUAACUUUUUCAGUCUAUAGUGGUACACCAUCUGUAAAUAUCCAUCUUUAGGCUGCUGAACUUUUGAUUGUGUUAAUCAUUCCUGAGAAAUACAAGUCGUAGAAGUGACUAUAGUGGAAGGUCUGAUUCUGCUAGUUGACUGCCAGCUCACAGUUUUCAUCAUCCUACAGAAUCCUUUCUCUGAAAUCUUCAGUAUUAGUGCUUCUGUGUAUUUGCUUCAAUGGUAUAAUUCUGAGAACUGAAAGUUUUUGUUGAGCUGACAGGUAUCUUUGAACCAAAGAAGUGAACCAAGGAAAAGAGAGGGAACAGCAGAAUGUACUGAAUUGUCAUGCCUAAACUCGGUUUUAUACCGGCGGGUAUCUAUAUGAGCAUAGUCCUGUGAUAUCUGGGUAACAGUUUUGCCUGCUGAAAUUCCCAUCUCUGUGUGUACACCUGUCAAAUCUGAAGUGUUGAUAACUCUUGUACAUGUGGUGCUGCUGUGCAAGUCAAAGAAAAAAAAAGGAAGAAAAGGAGCAACAGAACCAGUUGUUAGUCCCCUCUCUGUGUCGUGCUGGAGGUGCCUGCGAAACUGGAACACAAGCUAAGGAAAAGCAGAAAGAGGAGCAGCAGAACGUGGUUAUCGUGCCUAUACCCAGUUUAUGCUGGUGGUAUCAUUUUCGAAACCUGUUAACUGUUAUGGCUAUGUGACUGCUAUAACUAGUUUUACUUUACACAGCACUGUCACCGAUUCUUACAUCUCAUAUCUUCUCUUUCUCAUUUCUCAAUUGAAGCCUGUUUACAAUUGCAGUUUUGUUAGCUUCACCUUGUGCCAUUGUGACUGCCCUGUCACUAAUAACUAAGUCUGUCCUGGAUAACAAAUCAGUGGGAUAACUCAAAAGCAUUUUCAUAUAUAAAUUUCUCCCAGUUCACAAUCUGAUACCCCCAGUCUUUGUUUUGCCUGCACAAUCCUGGGUUCUGAUAGUUUCUUUUAAGCAUUUAGGUGCCUGCAUUACUGCUAUUCAAGCCAAGGAAUGGAGAAAAAAGAGCAGCACAAUCUGUGCUAUCGCCGAAACCUAGUUUAUACUGACGUCUUGGUACCUGAAAAUUUUCUUGUGCAGACCAAAGAAAAUGACGGCAAGUCCGUUGUGCCGACUCUAGCCUGCUGCAAAAGUGACCCUUAUGUGCAACCAUGUACUGCAUACCCAUAUGCUAUGAGGAUACCUACUGUUGAAGAUUCUCCUUCCAUGUGACAGAUUAAUGCAUAUUUAGAUAUUUUGCUUCAUGUACAAAAGGAGGGAAUGGAGGUUUUUCAUGAUGAGAUGUUUGUUAUUCCUAAUGAGGUAAAUAUUGAAAAUAGUGUUUAUAGUCCUAUUCAUGCAACUAAUAUUGAACAUGGAUCUAAUCAAGAGGUAAAUGAUUGGACUAGAGACACUAUGGGUUUGAAUAGAACAUUGUGUUAUGAUGAUGAUGUGAUGUUAGAAGAACAUGUUUAUGCUGAAAAUAUCGUGGAACCUUUGGGUUCAGAGACAUUAGGCUUCUCUCCAUCGACCUUCGUGAAUGAUGUUUCUUCUAAUAUUCAAUAUAUAUAUACAUGUGAUGUUGAUACUGAUUUGGAGCCUGUGCAGUUAUUCUGUGAAGAGCAUGACUUAGGAAAAAUUGAAUUAUAUGUUGACACUAAUGAUCUAAUACAUGAAAAUAAAUUUUAAGUGUCUGAUUCUAUGCCUAGGUCGCAGUGUGAUGUUUCUUCUGAUUUGCCUAUGCUUGAAACUAAAGUUUCGAAUGAUGCUGAUGAUACUGAAUUGGGGUUUGCUGAUUUUUUCGAUAACUGUGAGCAUGAUAGAGCACAAUUUGUUUCUGAAUUGGGAAAAACUAGACUGCAUAGUGAUAUUUUUGAGCCUAAAAACGAAUGCAACUUAAAUGCAUCUGAUUCCCUACCUAGAACACAGUAUGUUGCUCCCUCUGAUUCUCUUAUGCAUGACACAAAGGUCACAAAGGUUUUGGAUGAUGAUUAUGAACUCGGGCUUGAUGAUUUGUUCUAUGAAAAUGAAUAUGAUAUACGUGUUUAUGGCUUAGGGAAAGUGUAUGAUGGUACUAGUGGCCUUAUACAUGAAAACAAUUUAGAUGUACCUACUUCCCUGCCCAUGUCACAAACUGGUAAUUUUGUACCCAACCUAGAUUUGGUUUAUAACAAAAUGGUAAAACCAACUUUUCUGAGAAUACCUAAUCUAGGAUUGGAACUGUGUGCUUCUCGAAUUCUUUUGGACCAUUUUGCAGCUAAAUAUAAUGUCUAUGAGGAGCCACAGUUGAAAUGCAUAAAUCUGCAUGUUCCUAACAAAGUCCAUUUUGAGUUAGACCUUGGGCAUGACGAACCCCUAAAAUUGCAGGAUUUUGUGUCCAAAAGUAUAUCCAUUGAAAAAACCAGGUUUGGGGUAGCUCAUUUCGUUUUGCAGUCUCACUUGCAUUCCUGUCUUAUUAUAAUUGUGUGAGGCUGUUAAAAUUUCUACACUCCGUCUUUUGGGUUGAUCCUCAACUCUUUCAAUUAAUGGUAUAUGGUGAAUCACCAUCGUAUAAUCCAGUAGAUAAUUAUGUUCUUUAAGAUCUUCUUUGUAUAUAUUGUGCUAAUCCACUGUGACAUCAACUGAGUUAUCUUUGGAUUCUAGCCUUAAAUAAUGAAGCUCUAAUCUUGCUUUCGCCGACAUACCGGCAAUCUUUUCCCUUUUCUCUAAUCAGCGUGGUUCUUAUGGUAUGUUGCUGUUUAAAAUCUUAUUAUUUGUCGAAACAUUGAGGACAAUGUUAGAUUUAGGUUUGGGGGAGUAUUUUGCAUAUAAAGUUUUUAGUCUUUUGCACCUUAAAAAUAAAAUAUAUAUAUAUAUAUAUAUAUAUAUAUAUAUAUAUAUAUAUUUCAAAAUCUUUGUAAAUACUUGCAUAAAACCUCCAACUUUUAGAGAUCUCAGAGUCACUAGCAUGCUUCUAGUUAUGCUUCACAGAGAGUCUGACCGAGAACUUGGAAGUACUGGAGAACACAAUCGGGUUUUUGUUUGUUUGAGCGUUAAAGAUGGAUUUAACCAUGCCGGUGGGCAAAAUUUUGGUGCAGCAAGAUAUUUGGUAUUAGAGUUGUGAUCACCCUUAGUGGAGACUACCUAUUUUACAUCAAGCGAGGCACUGACCUUCAUUGUUUGUGACUAUAUAAAAAGUCCUUUUAGAGUGUGUCACCGUUACGUAUAUUCCGGGUAGGAAUGAUGAGCUACCCAAAUUUGCACCACUUUCAGCACUAUUUUUGAUCCCUUGAGUGCUGAUUCCAUCAAUCAUGAGGAUGACGUCUAAAGAUGAAAACUCCUUCUUGUAGUUUGAUUUGCAGUUAGCACCAUUCUCUCUCUCUCUCUCUCGACAACAUCAACAGAUCCAUAGAAACACAACAUCAUCAACGAGCAGAGCAACGUCAUAUUCUAUGAAGAAAGUUGAAAUAGUCCGAGGUUUACAUGCAACAAUUCAAGGAAAAGUAAAAGGUUCAUAUUCAAAGUGAAGAUACAGUACAAAGAGCAGAAUUCUAUACACUUUUGAAGAGGUAUUUUACAAGAGCAAAGAAAAGAAAAUAAGAUGAGAAUUAGUGAAGUUCAUGAAAUCAAGACAAUACAGGUUGUGAAGAAUUAAAUGAUAAAGUCCUUCAUCCAUGGCUUUAGUAGUUUCAUUAUUAUUUUGUUACUUUCAGUUUGUGUUAAUUUAAAAAAAAAUGAAAAAAAAAUAGAAAAAUAUAUUUAUUACAGUUUGUUUUUAGUUUUGUUUAAUAAACACCAUGGUAAAGAAGAAAAAUUUAAGAGGAAAAAUCAAGCAACAAGAAAAUUGAAGAGAAGAAUUGGUAAUUGUCAAGGUUCUACGAAGUUCAGAAGUUCAUCAACAACAGUUGAAGACCGAAGAUUGAAGACGUUUCUAUGGAUGUUGUGAGAGUGGUGUUGAUUUCCGAUAAGAUGUGAAGGUAAUAAAUAAAGCUUGGAUGAAUGGAGAAGUCAAAAGAGCAGAAAAGUAGAGGCGAUGAAAGAGAGACAACAAAGCUUCCGCUAUAAAGCAGUGAAGAAUAUUGUUUGCACCUCAUCCGCAAGUGAAGAAUGUUGUUUGCAAGAGUCAAAGACUAGAAGUGGGCUUGAGAUAUUAGCUUUGAAGAAGGAUUGGGCCUAGAAGAAGAUCUUCCAAGAGAUAAACCCAAGAUCCUAUACCCAAACCCGUUUCCAAUAUGAGUCUUUAGAUUCGAGUUAGCUUCUAAGCAUCCAAGGCCUCUCCACGCGGUACAUCAAUAUUUGCUACUCCUGCUCAACACCCCAUCCUCCUAUUUUCUUCCCUCACCCGAACAGAAACCAAACACUCCCCCCAUUUCGUUUCUCUUCCUUACAACCUCUGCAACUCCAUCACUUCACGUCUCUCCUUCCAUCACUUCCAUCUCCGACCACCGCUGAACACAACCACUCUAUCAGCCACCCUAACAGGUAGCCAUCAAUCAAUCUCCUAGUUUCUAUCUCUCUCCAUCUUAUCUUCUCCGUUAUACAGUAAUCCUAGAAGCUAUGAUUGAGAGAGAUAAGACUAGGGUUUCUUCACAUCUGUAGAACAUCAAAUCAAGGAGCUGUAAAGGAUGAAUUGAAGUAGGGGUCCAUCAGAGAAACGCGUUUUGGUGAGUGGGCCUCUAUCAGUUUGUGAAUUGGAGUUUAAUUGGGAGAUUUUCAUGUAUAAAUAGAGACGAGAGUUAUGUGUAAAAUUCAUGCCCGGAUUAGCCGGUGCACCAAGCAGUAGUUCAUGUUUGAUUUUAUUAUCUCCAUGAUGUUCUAAUUUCAUAGUUAGGGUUUAGAUGAAACCAUUAAUCUAUUGCUAAGUUUGGUUCA